GCCUACAGGCAUACCACCCUGAACGUGCCCAAUCUCAUCUGAUCUCGGAAGCCAAGCAGGGUCGGGCCUGGUUAGUACUUGGAAGGGAGACAAAAGGUGCCGAACACA
rnacentral:rRNA from 1 species